rnacentral:rRNA from 1 species
CCACUGGGGCAUACCUUAGUACGGCGAGUGAGCGGUAAAAGCUCAAAUUUGAAAUCUGGUACUUUCAGUGCCCGAGUUGUAAUUUGUAGAAUUUGUCUUUGAUUAGGUCCUUGUCUAUGUUCCUUGGAACAGGACGUCAUAGAGGGUGAGAAUCCCGUUUGGCGAGGAUACCUUUUCUCUGUAAGACUUUUUCGAAGAGUCGAGUUGUUUGGGAAUGCAGCUCAAAGUGGGUGGUAAAUUCCAUCUAAAGCUAAAUAUUGGCGAGAGACCGAUAGCGAACAAGUACAGUGAUGGAAAGAUGAAAAGAACUUUGAAAAGAGAGUGAAAAAGUACGUGAAAUUGUUGAAAGGGAAGGGCAUUUGAUCAGACAUGGUGUUUUUUGCAUGCACUCGCCUCUCGUGGGCUUGGGCCUCUCAAAAAUUUCACUGGGCCAACAUCAAUUCUGGCAGCAGGAUAAAUCAUUAAGAAUGUAGCUACUCUGUAAUGGUAUAACUUUUUGGAAUACUGGUAACCGGGAUUGAAGAAUGGCCUUCCGCAAGGAAGGUGGCAUAAUGGUUAAAUGGCCCCCCUCUUGAA